rnacentral:rRNA from 1 species
AGACAUGGACGCACUCUGAUGCAGCGACGCCGCGUGAGUGGAAGAAGGUCUUCGGGUUGUAAACCUCUGUCUUUGGGGACGAAGAUGGCGGUGGCCCCCACCGAGGAACCGGGCGCUUACUACAUGCCACCGCCCCCGGUAGUAAAGGCCACCGGCCUAUAGUAUAAAGGCACACGGCAA